AUUGAACGCUGGCGGCAGGCUUAACACAUGCAAGUCGAGCGGAGAUGAGGUGCUUGCACCUUAUCUUAGCGGCGGACGGGUGAGUAAUGCUUAGGAAUCUGCCUAUUAGUGGGGGACAACAUUCCGAAAGGAAUGCUAAUACCGCAUACGUCCUACGGGAGAAAGCAGGGGAUCUUCGGACCUUGCGCUAAUAGAUGAGCCUAAGUCGGAUUAGCUAGUUGGAGGGGUAAAGGCCUACCAAGGCGACGAUCUGUAGCGGGUCUGAGAGGAUGAUCCGCCACACUGGGACUGAGACACGGCCCAGACUCCUACGGGAGGCAGCAGUGGGGAAUAUUGGACAAUGGGGGGAACCCUGAUCCAGCCAUGCCGCGUGUGUGAAGAAGGCCUUAUGGUUGUAAAGCACUUUAAGCGAGGAGGAGGCUACUGAGACUAAUACUCUUGAAUAGUGGACGUUACUCGCAGAAUAAGCACCGGCUAACUCUGUGCCAGCAGCCGCGGUAAUAC
rnacentral:rRNA from 1 species